rnacentral:rRNA from 1 species
ACCCGCUGAACUUAAGCAUAUCAAUAAGCGGAGGAAAAGAAACCAACAGGGAUUGCCCCAGUAACGGCGAGUGAAGCGGCAACAGCUCAAAUUUGAAAUCUGGCCCCAGGCCCGAGUUGUAAUUUGCAGAGGAUGCUUUUGGCGCGGUGCCUUCCGAGUUCCCUGGAACGGGACGCCAUAGAGGGUGAGAGCCCCGUACGGUUGGACACCAAGCCUUUGUAAAGCUCCUUCGACGAGUCGAGUAGUUUGGGAAUGCUGCUCUAAAUGGGAGGUACAUUUCUUCUAAAGCUAAAUAUUGGCCAGAGACCGAUAGCGCACAAGUAGAGUGAUCGAAAGAUGAAAAGCACUUUGAAAAGAGGGUUAAACAGCACGUGAAAUUGUUAAAAGGGAAGCGCUUGUGACCAGACUUGCGUCCGGUGAAUCACCCAGCUCUCGCGGCUGGGGCACUUCGCCGGCACAGGCCAGCAUCAGCUUGCCGUCGGGGACAAAAGCUUCAGGAACGUAGCUCCUCUCGGGGAGUGUUAUAGCCUGUUGUAUAAUACCCUUCGGCGGGCUGAGGUACGCGCUCCGCAAGGAUGCUGGCGUAAUGGUCAUCAGCGACCCGUCUUGAAACACGGACCAAGGAGUCAACCUUAUGUGCGAGUGUUUGGGUGUUAAACCCCUACGCGUAAUGAAAGUGAACGCAGGUGAGAGCUUCGGCGCAUCAUCGACCGAUCCUGAUGUUCUCGGAUGGAUUUGAGUAAGAGCAUAUAGGGUUGGACCCGAAAGAAGGUGAACUAUGCGUGUGUAGGGUGAAGCCAGAGGAAACUCUGGUGGAGGCUCGCAGCGGUUCUGACGUGCAAAUCGAUCGUCAAACAUGCGCAUGGGGGCGAAAGACUAAUCGAACCUUCUAGUAGCUGGUUUCCGCCGAAGUUUCCCUCAGGA